CCCCCCUUAGCUCAGUUGGUUAGAGCAGGCGACUCAUAAUCGCUUGGUCGCUGGUUCAAGUCCGGCAGGGGGGA
rnacentral:tRNA from 1 species